rnacentral:rRNA from 1 species
AUUGAACGCUGGCGGCAGGCCUAACACAUGCAAGUCGAACGCGUGGCGGACGGGUGAGUACUGUCUGGGAAACUUCCUGCUGGAGGGGGCUCACUACUGGAAACGGUAGCUAAUACCGCAUACCCUCGGAUGUGACCAACUGGGAUUAGCUGGUAGGUGGGGUAAAGGCUUACCUAGGCGCAGAUCCCUAGCUGGUCUGAGAGGAUGACCAGCCACACUGGAACUGAGAAACGGUCCAGACUCCUACGGGAGGCAGCAGUGGGGAAUAUUGCACAAUGGGCUCAAGCCUGAUGAAGCCAGGCCGAGUGUAUGAAGAAGGCCUGCGGGUUGUAAAGUACUUUCAGCGGGGAGGCGUUACCCGCAGAAGAAGCACCGGCUAACUCCGUGCCAGCAGCCGCGGUAAUAC